rfam:Oryza brachyantha chromosome 2, whole genome shotgun sequence.
GGGCGAUGAGGAAAGAAAACCGUGUGCCGGAGGCGGAUGCGCCGGUGUCGGUGACACAAAUCCUCUAAGAAGUUCUGAGCUC